UCUUGAGACAGAGUCUUGCUCUGUUGCCAGGCUGGAGUGGAACAAUCUCAGCUCACUACAACCUCCACCUUCUGGGUUCCAGAUUCUCCUGCCUCAGUCUCUCAAAGAAACCACUGGAUUUCAUCUCCUCUGUCAGCUGACUGUGUCUACACAGUCUACACCUCAUCUACCUUCAAAUUAACUCCCAGCUGGCCUGUCAUCAAAGAAGGCUUUAAAUAUUGUUCCAGUUCUACCAAAACCUCCAGAUUCUCAGUAUUCCCAGGGGAGCUUGGACUUGCAGAACCUCACUUUUAUGGGAUAUCAUUCUCAGUGAUGGAGAUAACAGAGAAUCAGAGCAUUGCAGCAAUAACUACAGAAAGAGGUCUACUUUAG
rnacentral:lncRNA from 13 species